CACUGCCGAGAAAAGCCUCUAGAUAGAAAAUAGGUGCCCGUACCGCAAACCGACACAGGUAGUCAAGAUGAGAAUUCUAAGGUGAGCGAGCGAACUCUCGUUAAGGAACUCGGCAAAAUGACCCCGUAACUUCGGGAGAAGGGGUGCUCUUUAGGGUUAACGCCCAGAAGAGCCGCAGUGAAUAGGCCCAAGCGACUGUUUAUCAAAAACACAGGUCUCUGCUAAACCGUAAGGUGAUGUAUAGGGGCUGACGCCUGCCCGGUGCUGGAAGGUUAAGAGGAGUGGUUAGCUUCUGCGAAGCUACGAAUCGAAGCCCCAGUAAACGGCGGCCGUAACUAUAACGGUCCUAAGGUAGCGAAAUUCCUUGUCGGGUAAGUUCCGACCCGCACGAAAGGCGUAACGAUUUGGGCACUGUCUCAACGAGAGACUCGGUGAAAUCAUAGUACCUGUGAAGAUGCAGGUUACCCGCGACAGGACGGAAAGACCCCGUGGAGCUUUACUGUAGCCUGAUAUUGAAAUUCGGCACAGCUUGUACAGGAUAGGUAGGAGCCUUUGAAACGUGAGCGCUAGCUUACGUGGAGGCGCUGGUGGGAUACUACCCUAGCUGUGUUGGCUUUCUAACCCGCACCACU
rnacentral:rRNA from 1 species